UAGAAAUAGUGGACUAUAAAAAAGCUUCUAACUUUAUUUAAGAUGGUUCAAUUCCAUCAAUUUCUUA
rnacentral:tRNA from 1 species